CCUCCUCCUCCGCAGCCUCCUCUUCUGGAAGGGCAGGGGGCAGAAAAGGCAGGGUUAGAACCCCACAAGAGAGCACGCCCAGGGUGCUGCGACCCCGAGGGUGGCCGCCCCGGGUGGCCGGGGGCGAUGGGCGACCCUUGUCCUCGGGCCUCCCGCGCGUGUCCCCAGGCCACCGAGGGCCACCCACUCCCCACUCACCUUCGGGCUGCUCCCUGAGGACACAGGAAGAGGACAGAGAGGCAGGGUUAGCGUGUUGGAGGUGGGAGAGGGUCCCACCUCUCCAUACCCCAGCCCUCCCACCAGCACCACUCACUCCUCAUACUCCUGCUCCUCGGUGUCCGACAUCCUGUGUCACCUAAGGACCAAAGAACAUGCGACUGAGCCUUGAAGGAAGCUGGACUCAUCAAGAGCAGUGAAGUCCACACAUCUCACCCUGACUCCUACAUAGACACCACAUCAUCUUUGGGAUUCCCCCAGGACCAACAGUAUCCAGGCCUAUGGAGGUCUCAUCCAGGCUCCUCAUCCAGUAACUGUAAGCCCUCCCGACGGGCCCAGCCUCCUCUCUGAAAAACACUUGACACCUCCUGGUGCUGCUGCAUGCAUCCCACAAUUUCCUGACCCAUGCCUGAGCUCACCUAUCAACAACACCCGAUGCUCCAGCUACACAUUUCCACGAAUACAGCUUCUGCGUUCCCAACUCCUGGCUUUUGUGUGCUAUUGUCCCCUCUGCCUGGAACAGCCUUCCCUAACCACUUUAUACUCAUUCUUCUGCCCC